AGCGAACGCUGGCGGCAGGCCUAACACAUGCGAGUCGAACGAACCCUUCGGGGUUAGUGGCGGACGGGUGAGUAACACGUGGGAACGUGCCUUUAGGUUCGGAAUAACUCAGGGAAACUUGUGCUAAUACCGAAUGUGCCCUUCGGGGGAAAGAUUUAUCGCCUUUAGAGCGGCCCGCGUCUGAUUAGCUAGUUGGUGAGGUAAUGGCUCACCAAGGCUACGAUCAGUAGCUGGUCUGAGAGGAUGAUCAGCCACAUUGGGACUGAGACACGGCCCAAACUCCUACGGGAGGCAGCAGUGGGGAAUCUUGCGCAAUGGGCGAAAGCCUGACGCAGCCAUGCCGCGUGAAUGAUGAAGGUCUUAGGAUUGUAAAAUUCUUUCGCCGGGGACGAUAAUGACGGUACCCGGAGAAGAAGCCCCGGCUAACUUCGUGCCAGCCGCCGCCGUAAAAC
rnacentral:rRNA from 1 species